rnacentral:rRNA from 1 species
UGGGGAAUUUUGGACAAUGGGCGCAAGCCUGAUCCAGCCAUGCCGCGUGAGUGAAGAAGGCCUUCGGGUUGUAAAGCUCUUUCAGCCGGGAAGAAAACGCAUGGGUUAAUACCCUGUGUGGAUGACGGUACCGGAAUAAGAAGCACCGGCUAACUACGUGCCAGCAGCCGCGGUAAUACGUAGGGUGCGAGCGUUAAUCGGGAUUACUGGGCGUAAAGCGUGCGCAGGCGGUUUGUUAAGAUAGGCGUGAAAUCCCCGGGCUCAACCUGGGAACUGCGUUUAUGACUGGCAGGCUAGAGUAUGGCAGAGGGGGGUGGAAUUCCACGUGUAGCAGUGAAAUGCGUAGAGAUGUGGAGGAACACCGAUGGCAAAGGCAGCCCCCUGGGCCAAUACUGACGCUCAUGCACGAAAGCGUGGGUAGCAAACAG